GAGAGAGAGAGAGAGAGAGAGAGAGAGAGAGAGAGAGAGAGGAAAGGAAGAAAAAUCGAGAUAUAGUCUCGAUGGAAUUUGUCCGACAUUCGGCUUCCUCAUACUCCAUUGCAUAGACGAUAAUUUUGUGAAGCACACUUACGGCCGAUGCGAACUACGAGCUUGGAAAAAUAAUAUAUAUCGAUACACUUUCAUAAUCGCCUGUCAGAUUACUGCCGAUAAUGAUAUUUUGCAAUAGGCCUGCAAACAUUUUGCACUUGUAUGCUCCACGAGACACACACAUCGGACUUUUUUAUACGUAUAUACGUAUAUACUAAACGACAAAGAACAACUCCGGGCUCGCAGUUGGAAGUGCGGUAGGUGUGCGAAGGAGUAUUCAUACGACAUACACAACAUAUCCACACACGCAACAUAUAGCAGCAAGGGUCGCCGACGUUUUUUUACGGGAUAUAUUUCCACCGAAACUUUGUUGAAGGAUAUAUGUAUAGUGGAUUUAUUCGCCUUAAAUAUUCUCACCUAUCUAUUAACCCUGGCAGACGCAGGUGUGAUUUUAUAGAGAAUGAUAAACGUCUUGGGAUUCUGCGAUGGUCAGAAAUCUAUUAUAAAAGGGUAAGAAAAAGGGUAAAUAUGUUAUCGAGAUCAUGACACUUAACUAAUUCAAAGAUAGUCGUCGCUUGUUUAUUAAAAAGUUAAAAACGCUUCAAAAAUAGAAUAUAAUUUUCUGAUACUAAAAUGAAAACAGAAAACAAGCUACAAUGUAAGAUGAAUAUAUGAAUUUCUAUAUAGCGUUAAUGGAGGAUUGGGAAGGGGGGUGGUGAAACUGCUCCUCUACUUAUACUAAUAACUUCUAAUUAAAACAAAAACACAGGAAUUAAGUAUUAAAUUGAAUGGUGAUAAAAAAAAUAUGGAUGAAUUUUUAUUAUUGAUAGUAAUAUACGUUAUGGUUUUAUUUUUGAUAUGUAAUAUCUACCUUGUGUAAGGGUCUGUCUAAUCUUUUAAAUUUUUAUUAUUUUUAGUAUAUUGUAGACGAAGAUUUAGUUUAAAACAUAAAUGUGGCUAUAAAGUACACAUGUCAGAAAAUGAUGUGUCCGACAAAUUGUGUUAACUUUUUUAUAAACAACGAAUUAAAAUCUCUUGAAUGUUACUUGGACAUAUUUCAAGAUCAUUGACUUUUGAAGGAAUUGAUCUUAUGAAUAUUUAUCAGAAGAAGAAUUAUAGAAUCUAGAAUUCACAGAUUCCGUAUUCCGUUUUGUUAAUCUGAACUGUCUAUAAUAGAGGAAUACAGUUGACGUUUAAAUUUAUUUAUCUAUAUUCCAUCAUUAGCAUAUCAAAUAAUUGAACGUGAAAUCAGGAUUAGAUGAUCGUUUCAGGAGAUUUAUUGGAUCUCCGCCCGUGUUUCCCAGGGUUAUGAGGAAAGGACUUACAAAUGUACAAAUAUACUAUAUUAGGGAAAUAUUGCGAGGGCGUUGCCGCUGCGGACCUUUAAAAGAGUAGUCCUUCAAAUCCAACAACGCUGCCGAAUGCCGAACUGAAAAAAAAAAGAAAAAGAAAGAAAGAAAAGUAUCAAGAAGUAUCUUUGCAGCAGAGAAUGAUGAUAGGGAUGAUUUAUUGACUACAUUCAUAGUCUUUGAAGAGUAAUGACGUUUGAUUUAUAUAUUGGUGAAUUUUUCUGUAAUUUUAUGUACAACUAUAUAAAAUGACAAUUCUCAACGUGUGAACGAGAGAGAUUGUGAGAACGGAGAGCGAAAGAGAGAAAUAAAGGGUGCGAUAGAGAAAGAAAGAGCGUGAGAGAGAAAGUUUACCUUGUACAUUUACAAAUUGUGGUUAUUACGAAUGAAUUAUUAUGAUUAUUAAUUAUUAUUAUUAUCACGGAUUAUACUAUGAUUAUUAUUAUCAUGUAGAAUGCUUCUUACUGACUGAAUAAAAUGUUUUCAAUGUCUAA